rnacentral:rRNA from 1 species
GUGCCAGCAGCCGCGGUAAUACGAAGGGGGCUAGCGUUGCUCGGAAUCACUGGGCGUAAAGCGCACGUAGGCGGAUUGUUAAGUCAGGGGUGAAAGCCUGGAGCUCAACUCCAGAACUGCCCUUGAUACUGGCAAUCUCGAGUCCGGAAGAGGUAAGUGGAACUCCGAGUGUAGAGGUGAAAUUCGUAGAUAUUCGGAAGAACACCAGUGGCGAAGGCGGCUUACUGGUCCGGUACUGACGCUGAGGUGCGAAAGCGUGGGGAGCAAACAGGAUUAGAAACCCUGGUAGUCC